rnacentral:rRNA from 1 species
UGGGGAAUAUUGCACAAUGGGCGCAAGCCUGAUGCAGCCAUGCCGCGUGUGUGAAGAAGGCCUUCGGGUUGUAAAGCACUUUCAGCGGGGAGGAAGGCGAUAAGGUUAAUAACCUCAUCGAUUGACGUGACCCGCAGAAGAAGCACCGGCUAACUCCGUGCCAGCAGCCGCGGUAAUACGGAGGGUGCAAGCGUUAAUCGGAAUUACUGGGCGUAAAGCGCACGCAGGCGGUCUGUCAAGUCGGAUGUGAAAUCCCCGGGCUCAACCUGGGAACUGCAUUCGAAACUGGCAGGCUAGAGUCUUGUAGAGGGGGGUAGAAUUCCAGGUGUAGCGGUGAAAUGCGUAGAGAUCUGGAGGAAUACCGGUGGCGAAGGCGGCCCCCUGGACAAAGACUGACGCUCAGGUGCGAAAGCGUGGGGAGCAAACAGG